GGUAAGACGUCAGUUACUUAUAAGCUGAAAAUGACAAACUCUGUUCACCUACUGCAAUGUAAGCUGCUGUUACAGAAAUGGACUUGACUUAUGUCAUACAUAAAUAUCUUCAUCAUAAAUGACUAAACAGAAGACUGAAAUCACAGCCUUUGGGGGAAAAAUUACCAGCCAUACAAGUGUGAGCCAAAUUUGUUGCUGUGUGAACCGAUUAUAUACAGCAGAUAAGGUACCGUGAUCUUCAAAAGACUGCUGGGUCAGGUGUAGACUGAACAUGAUGGAUAUUUGCAGCUUAUUCGCUUGAUGGCUUCAACACAGCUUAAAAGUUUAAAAGGCACUAAAUGUAUCGACAAGGACUCUAAGAAAGCACCGACAAUGAGUUGCAAAUGCACAAAAUCAUACAAAGUGAAUACAGCGACAACUUUGAGGAAGUCCAGAUGUGUACAGACAGUAACAGCUAGAAAAUGGUGUAGAGUAGGAAAACUACAACCCCGAAGAUGAUACUCUGCACGUAUAGAAAUGGGACGAACAUAGCUCAACAUACCACAUGACUUGCACAUGAUUUUCUGAAUCUUAUUUGCUCUAAUUACAAAUCAUACGAGGUAUUGAAAAGCAAUAUUCAAAAUAAUCGUUUGUUACUUUACAGGACCUCUGACGCUGAAGGUUGAUUGAUGCGUUGGGUACACGCUUGAUUUCGAAAGGGCCAUCAGCAUGAUAAUACAAGAAGCAACGCAUGUAGCAUUGUUUAGUAUAAUUAUCAGACUGAUCCUUGAAAAAGUCAUUGUUGUAUUUGAACCGGCUCAGCACCUCCUAGAUAGGUUAAAAAGAAAUUU